GCUUGGCCCUGCUUUAAAAUCGUUUGUUUGUUUUGAAGGUGUGGGGCAUCUCUGUUCCAAUGCUUGCCUCCCAUGUGCCAAGCCCCGAGUUCAAUCCGAGCGACUACAGAACAAAGCUGAAGUAGGACCUGGAGCCGGUAGUGUGGCUCACUUGGAAGAAUGCUUGCCCAGCGCCUCGUAAACCAGGCCCACACCUGUGGUCCCAGCACCUGGGAGAUGGAGAUGAGAUCAAGGUCAUUUUCAGCUACAGAUGAUUUUGAGUCCUGAUCCAGCAUGGGCUACCUGAGCUUCUGUGUCAAAGAGAAACAAAGAAACAAAAACUGAGGGCUCUCUUCACUCCUGGCCCCAGUGCUGGUGCUGGCUGAAGGUUCCAAGCGUCCCCACAUCUGUGUCCUCAUGGCACCUACCUGGCUCUUGAAUUUCUCAAACCUGCCAUUCUGCCUCCAGGAGAAUGUAAAAGUGUGGGUCUCACUGGUGACCUCAGAGGACCUGAGAAGGGGGAAGAGAAAGGGAGACAUAAACAGGGCUGUGAAGAGCAGGGCUUUUUCCAGACCUGACCCAGGGUGGGUCUUGUGCCUGCUGUGGUGGCUCUUGUACCCUCUGCUUAGCUUAUUUGGUGAAGGAUCAAUGCAUGUGACCAAACUCUCCAGGUGAGUAGUUCAUGGGACCCCUCAGGGACCUGGCUGAAGUAUUUUUACUGUCAUACCCAUUUCACAGGCAGGGUGGGCUUGCUUGAUGCCAGAAUAGACCCUUCUUAGUCCUGACCUC
rnacentral:lncRNA from 1 species